rnacentral:rRNA from 1 species
GACGAACGCUGGCGGCGGGCUUAACACAUGAAAGUCGAACGGUAAGGGCCUGCUUUUUUGGGGUGCUCGAGUGGCGAACGUGUGGGUAACACGUGAGUAACCUUGCCUUGACUGUGGGCUAACUUCAGGAAAGUGGGGGUUAGAGCGGAUAGGAGCUCCUGCUGCAUGGUGGGGGUGGGAUAGUUUCGGCGGUUGGGGAUGGACUCGCGGCUUAUCAGCUUGUUGGUGGGGUAGUGGCUUACCAAGGCUUUGACGGGUAGCCGGCCUGAGAGGGUGACCGGCCACAUUGGGACUGAGAUACGGCCCAGACUCCUACGGGAGGCAGCAGUGGGGAAUAUUGCACAAUGGGCGGAAGCCUGAUGCAGCAACGCCGCGUGCGGGAUGACGGCCUUCGGGUUGUAAACCGCUUUCGCCUGUGACGAAGCGUGAGUGACGGUAAUGGGUAAAGAAGCACCGGCUAACUACGUG